rnacentral:rRNA from 1 species
GACGAACGCUGGCGGCGUGCUUAACACAUGCCAGUCGAACGGAAAGGCCCUGCUUUUGUGGGGUGCUCGAGUGGCGAACGGGUGAGUAACACGUGAGUAACCUGCCCUUGACUUUGGGAUAACUUCAGGAAACUGGGGCUAAUACCGGAUAGGAGCUCCUGCUGCAUGGUGGGGGUUGGAAAGUUUCGGCGGUUGGGGGUGGACUCGCGGCUUAUCAGCUUGUUGGUGGGGUAGUGGCUUACCAAGGCUUUGACGGGUAGCCGGCCUGAGAGGGUGACCGGCCACAUUGGGACUGAGAUACGGCCCAGACUCCUACGGGAGGCAGCAGUGGGGAAUAUUGCACAAUGGGCGGAAGCCUGAUGCAGCAACGCCGCGUGUGGGAUGACGGCCUUCGGGUUGUAAACCGCUUUCGCCUGUGACGAAGCGUGAGUGACGGUAAUGGGUAAAGAAGCACCGGCUAACUACGUG